AUUGAACGCUGGCGGCGUGCUUAACACAUGCAAGUCGUGCGGUAACAGGCGUAGCAAUACGUGCUGACGAGCGGCGAACGGGUGCGUAAUACAUGGGAAUCUGCCCUUUAGUGGGGAAUAACCCGGCGAAAGCCGGGCUAAUGCCGCAUAAGAUCUUCGGAUGAAAGCGGGGGAUCGUAAGACCUCGCGCUGAUGGAUGAGCCCAUGUCGGAUUAGCAGUUGGUGAGGUAACGGCUCACCAAGGCGACGAUCCGUAGCUGGUCUGAGAGGACGGCCAGCCACACUGGGACUGAGACACGGCCCAGACUCCUACGGGAGGCAGCAGUGGGGAAUAUUGGACAAUGGGCGCAAGCCUGAUCCAGCGAUGCCGCGUGUGUGAAGAAGGCCUGCGGGUUGUAAAGCACUUUCAGUAGGGAAGAAAGCCGAGUGCUAAUAUCACUCGGUCUUG
rnacentral:rRNA from 1 species